rnacentral:tRNA from 1 species
GGCGUGGUGGCUAAGUGGUAAAGCGCUUGGUUUCUGAACCAGCGGUCCGGGUUCGAAUCCUGGUGAAGACU